AAUCUUCUCAUUUCUAAGUAUUUCAAUUAAGGAAAUAAAGUGGAUUCAAAUUUUACUCAUAUUAUGUAAUAGAGAUUAUAUCAUAUAGGUUAGGAUUUGGUAAUUUCGAUAAUUUUUAUUGAAAAACAUGAAAAUGGUUCCGAUUAUCGAAUCGAUAAGAGAUUUGAAAUCGAACAUUUCGUAAAUAACGGCCGGGCACCACUUCAAUCUUGAUCUUGCAUGGAGAGUUAGAAAAAUUGACUCCAGAAAUGAAUGAAAACUUUAUUAUUAUUAAUUCACGUUAUUCAGAUUUACAUUACAUCAGAUUGAUGUUAAUUUAUGUUAGUUCAGAGGAUUUUUAUAUAGUAUGGCUAGAAAUGAAAACAACCUGUUAGGUCCAAAGAUAGCUGAAAAAAUAGCUGAUAAAGUAAAAAUAAAAACAAGCAAUAUUUUAAUACAUCCAGUGUUCUAAUAUUGUGACAAGCAUUAUUUUGAAAAUUUUUAGAAGUGUGAAGAAAUACAUAUUCAGCUCUAAUACCAAAUAAGAAGACAGUUUUGGUAAUAUAGGAUUGACUAACAAUAUUUGAAACUUUAAAAUUAUAUUAUAUCAUACGAUAUAAAAUAGUAUUAUAUAAUAUUAAUAAUAUAAAUAUACAAUAAUAGUUCUUAUUAUCACACUUUGGUUAUCAUUAUAUAGUUUCACUACUAACUCAUAUAUUUCUUAUUACAGUUUCCACUAAUAAUACCAAUCCUCUCAGACUCCUAAACAAAGCUUACAAUUUGCAACGCCCUUUCGAAGAAAAAAGAUAAUCUAACCUUUCACACGGAAUUUAGCCAUAGUUCCCUUUAGGUGGCAAGAGAAGCUCUUAUUACUCAUUCCUAGCCCGCAACAUUUUAUCGAAGAUUGACCCUGUAACAUACAUAAGGGCCGUUUCUGGGGGAACCGGGGACCAGGAGAAAGGGCGUGGAACACGCGAUCAAGGAGAAACAGGUUUCUAUUCGCGGAGACUUCCACUUACCGGCCGUCGACUCCGUGGUCGAUGCUCUGGCGAUCUGGUUCAACGACUUUCUUCUCCGCGUACAAAACAAGCUAUGGGCAUUUCUUUGACCUCCUGACUAGCGCGCGCGCGCGGAUUACAUCACACUCUUGUAAUCGCUCGGCCACCAAGUUUUUUCGCCGGAGGAGACGCCAUGAUGCACAAAAACGUAUAUCAGGAGAAAUGUUACAUUAUUGAUUAAGGAUAAUUUCGUCGAAGUUUUGUAACAUGGAAAAUAAUUUCUCGAUUACCGAAAGUUGAAAAACAGGGGAUCAUAGUUUAGACAAAAUGUCUCUCCCCCAUAGCUAUGUGCUAUUCUUAUCAUCCCAUCCUCCACACUUUCGCACAGUUCUCUUCAUGUUAAAAAGGACUCUCCGUCACUUAGUCUCAAGUUAUUUUUGACUGUGGCUCGAAGUAACGGUCGAAGAGAAAGGAGAAAGAAAGAAGGCAAAAAAGAGAGAAAUAAAUUCUUCGAUCGCGUCGGAUGUGCACAUUAGGCGUGGCGAAGAAAAGAGCAGCGAUACAACAGGUGCCUCAUACAGGAAACCGGCAUUGUCGAGCUCCAAGGACAUACCGCUAUAAAAACUCUUCUAUUCCAUCCGGGCAGACAUAAAAAGGGCGCAGAAGAAUAGAAAAGGAAUGACCUUGAAGGGAGCUGGUUUGUGAAACCCGGAUUUUGGAGUCAGUAUUCCCGAAAUCGUACGAGAGUCGUGAGAGGGGAGGGCACCGUGCGUGCGUGCACGCGUGUUGCGUGCAGUAGGCCCACGGUGGAUGCACUUUUGGGAAAUCAUGCAUAUACGUGGCAACAUCGCACAGCGGGCUCACAUUCCACGUGAUCAGGACCGGUUUGCGGGUGUCGACCCACUGACACUCGUCCACUACAGAUAAACCUUGGCCCUGCAUAUGGGAUACAUACACCUUACUUGUGCUUCUUUUUAUUGCAACACUGAAGAUAUUCUAACCACUGAUGCAUAGAAAUCCACUGGACGAUCAAAAUGGCUGCUGUUUUAUAAUGGUUAUACUACCACUUCUAUCAUUCGAAAAUAAUAUCUAUUUCCAAACAUUAGAACACGAACUAAUUUGCAGUUAUUUAAAUUUUUAAUCCAUCUUAAUAAGUUAGGUUAUGCAGCAAUUUUCAGAAACAGAUUAGAGUUCUAAAGGAAUGAUUCUAUAAUAACGUCAUAGAAUUGCAUUUCACUAAUUAGAACUAUAUUCCAUCCCCCAAUGUGCUCGCGUAAAUAGAAUAUUAUUACUAUAGAAGAAUACCAUUAAAAUAUUAUUAUUGUAGAAGAGGAGAGCUUGAAGUUUCAUCAGAGAAGUAUUGAACGAGAAUUAUUAUCAAAUAAAUAAACACGCGAGGAGGGUUUGAUUCUUACAUUAAUACCUCGUACAGAUGCAUGUAAAGGCCUCGGCGUGCAUUGCAAGGCCAUUGACCGAAGGGAUCCCCGAUCGAUGAUCGGCUACCUGCUGAUACAUUGUUGCCUAUACAAUAGCGAAAGUAUUGUUGGUCCGGUGGGUACCCUCCGGCGUCAAGUGCAAUUAUUCCGUGUAACCGAGUGCACUUUGUUCCUACUGUUCAAGAUCUGCUUUGCCUUGUUGCAUGGCCAUUCAUUGCAGCUACCGGGUACAACGCCCCAUUCACCUGUGUCAUCGGCCUCCACAAAUAAUUCUAUGUGCAUCCUUUCUUUCUAUAGUGCACGAGUACUAUUUCGGAGCAAAAGGAGUUAUUAAAAAGUUACUAUUACUAAAAAUAAUUACUAGAAGUAAUUAAUUUUAUUAGUAAUGUGCAAAAUGUUCUUUUUUAAUGUAGUCUUCUAAAAUUAGAUGACAUGAAAAAAUGAAUUUAUAUUGAAGGAUUAAGCAAUUUAUCAUUUUAAGUUUGAUGUAA